CAGUAGCCGCGGUAAUACGUAGGGUGCAAGCGUUAAUCGGAAUUACUGGGCGUAAAGCGUGCGCAGGCGGUUAUAUAAGACAGAUGUGAAAUCCCCGGGCUCAACCUGGGAACUGCAUUUGUGACUGUAUAGCUAGAGUACGGCAGAGGGGGAUGGAAUUCCGCGUGUAGCAGUGAAAUGCGUAGAUAUGCGGAGGAACACCGAUGGCGAAGGCAAUCCCCUGGGCCUGUACUGACGCUCAUGCACGAAAGCGUGGGGAGCAAACAGGAUUAGAUACCCCGUAGUCCCUGUCUCUUAUACC
rnacentral:rRNA from 1 species